GACGAACGCUGGCGGCGUGCUUAACACAUGCAAGUCGAACGGCAAGGCCCUGCUUUUUUGGGGUGCUCGAGUGGCGAACGGGUGAGUAACACGUGAGUAACCUGCCCUUGACUUUGGGAUAACUUCAGGAAACUGGGGCUAAUACCGUAUAGGAGCUCCUGCUGCAUGGUGGGCGUUGGAAAGUCUCGGCGGUUGGGGAUGGAUUCGCGGCUUAUCAGCUUGUUGGUGGGGUAGUGGCUUACCAAGGCUUUGAAGGGUAGCCGGCCUGAGAGGGUGACCGGCGACAAUGGGACUGAGAGACGGCCCAGACGCCUACGGGAGGCAGCAGUGGGGAAUAUUGCACAAUGGGCGGAAGCCUGAUGCAGAAACGCCGCGUGCGGGAUGACGGCCUGUGGGUUGUAAACCGCUUUCGCCUGUGACGAAGCGGGAGUGACGGUAAUGGGUAAAGAAGCACCGGCUAACUACGUG
rnacentral:rRNA from 1 species